rnacentral:rRNA from 1 species
AUUGAACGCUGGCGGCAUGCCUUACACAUGCAAGUCGAACGGUAACAGGUCUUCGGAUGCUGACGAGUGGCGAACGGGUGAGUAAUACAUCGGAACGUGCCCGAGAGUGGGGGAUAACGAGGCGAAAGCUUUGCUAAUACCGCAUACGAUCUCAGGAUGAAAGCAGGGGACCGCAAGGCCUUGCGCUCACGGAGCGGCCGAUGGCAGAUUAGGUAGUUGGUGGGAUAAAAGCUUACCAAGCCGACGAUCUGUAGCUGGUCUGAGAGGACGACCAGCCACACUGGGACUGAGACACGGCCCAGACUCCUACGGGAGGGAGCAGUGGGGAAUUUUGGACAAUGGGCGCAAGCCUGAUCCAGCCAUGCCGCGUGCAGGGUGAAGGCCUUCGGGUUGUAAACUGCUUUUGUACGGAACGAAAAGACUCUGGUUAAUACCUGGGGUCCAUGACGGUACCGUAAGAAUAAGCACCGGCUAACUACGUGCCAGCCGCCGCGGUAAUAC